GUCACCUUUUCGAUAGAGACAUGAGUACCUGUUUGGAACGGUUUUUUUGCCCCAACAAACCUGUCUGCAGCACGGGCAGGAGGGCCACCUUCUACUAUCCCGGAGGUGGGUCCUACUCCGGCUACUGGUUAUGCAACAAGCACCAUGGCUGGGGCGUCAAGAAGACGGCGAAGCGGACUUCCCAGUACUUCUCGGGCAAGAAGCAGCCUGAAGGGCAGCUCGUCUACGAGGGUCACUGGGUGAUGAACAAGCGGCAGGGAGUCGGAUCGAUGCUACGCAAGCGCGGGCCCGACGUUCAGCUGAUAUACUCGGGAAGAUGGUACGACGACAUGAAGUGCGGAGAAGGCAAGCAAUUCUACACCGACGGCUGCGUCUACUUCGGGAAAUGGCUAAGGAACCGGCGCCACGGACUGGGCAUUCAGUGGUACGCCGAUGGGAGCAUCUAUGCGGGCGAGUGGGAGACUGAUUUCCGACACGGCCUGGGGGUCAUGUUCUACGCUAAUGGCAAUCGCUACGAAGGACACUUCGCGAGGGGGUAUAAGAACGGCGAGGGUGUCUUCUACCACAUGCACACGGGCCAAAUCCAGAAGGGGAUGUGGGACAACGACAAUGUGAAGACGUCGGUGAUGCAGGACGAUCCCCAAAUUCGGUGUAAUGUGUCAGUAACGCCGUAUCCGAUUCCUCGCAACUACCUGAAGUACCCCAACGAAAUAAUGCGGGAGCUUUUCCAGAGGUUUAAAGGUAAUGGCGACAAGCCGCAUCGCAGGUUCAACGACAAGGUCAGCCUGGACUUCAUCCACCACCACCGCCAGUACGCCUCCUUCGAGGAGCGCUUCGCUUCGCCCACAAUCGUGGAUCUCUACCCCGACGCCGAGUUCGCCUGCACCUGCAACUGCGAACAGAUUGCCAGGAACGAGACCAACGUCAGCCAGAUAUAGCUUUGUCCAGUUUGUUUCAAAAAUUAGAAGUAUUCAGCAUUAAAGAAAGGAAAACCAUUCUAGGCAGCCACUAUGCUGUCCUGGCCAAGUUAACAGAAUUCGCUACUUUAGAACUUUAAGCCGACAGAGUGAGGCUUUUCUCUAAUGGCAGCAGAAAUACCUGCGUAUCCCCAUCAACCCCAUUCCACGCCGCCCAACGAAACGGACUUGCCACGCCCAAGACGAGCCAUCUAAGCACCCACCCAA